rnacentral:rRNA from 1 species
AUUGAACGCUGGCGGCAGGCCUAACACAUGCAAGUCGAACGAGUGGCGGACGGGUGAGUAAUGUCUGGGAAACUGCCUGAUGGAGGGGGAUAACUACUGGAACCGGUAGCUAAUACCGCAUACCAUCAGAUGUGCCCAGAUGGGAUUAGCUUGUUGGUGGGGUAACGGCUCACCAAGGCGACGAUCCCUAGCUGGUCAGAGAGGAGGACCAGCCACACUGGAACUGAGACACGGUCCAGACUCCUACGGGAGGCAGCAGUGGGGAAUAUUGCACAAUGGGCGCAAGCCUGAUGCAGCCAUGCCGCGUGUAUGAAGAAGGCCUUCGGGUUGUAAAGUACUUUCAGCGGGGAGGCGUUACCCGCAGAAGAAGCACCGGCUAACUCCGUGCCAGCAGCCGCGGUAAUAC